GCCGGGAUUCCGGAGCCUGGUACCGGGCAGUCUGCCUAGCGCGCGGGCCCAUGUCUGGAAUAGGCUCUCCUGUCAGCCUGUGGCCCUUCGGGCCGCGUGGGUUCAAAUCCCACUCCCGGCG
rfam:Archaeon 13_2_20CM_2_53_6 13_2_20cm_2_scaffold_117, whole genome shotgun sequence.